UUACCAAACAUUAAAAGUAGAACUAUUUGCACAUUCAUAAGCAUCAACAAGUUCAUCAUUUUAUGCCAACUCAAAUGGCCAAAAUACAUAUCCAUCAAACAUACCAAAAUGACCGAAGUUUAUACAUGCCAUAUACCAUAUGUACAUAACUUCAAAAGUACCAAAAUAGAUGAUCGAUAGUGCGAUAAAGUCUUUGACGGUCCCCGAAUUCGAGCUAGCUUUGCAGAAUUAUAAAACAUCAAAAUUUAAACAAAGUAAGCUAUAAAGCUUAGUAAGUUCGUAUAUGAACAUGAAAUAAUCACAACAUUCAUAAAGCAAUUCAAAAUAGAUAAUAUCAUCAACAUUUAAAGCAUCAAUUCAUGAGCUAACAUAAAAUUUGUUCAUAUCUGCAUUCAUGAGUUCUCAACUUCAUCUAUCUCGAUACUUGAAUAGUUUUUUGUACAUACCUAUACCGAUACAUUUAUAUUUCUCAUCAAUACUCUUAUCAAACCGCUCCGGUUUAUAAGUGCUUACGAUAAAAAUUCAUCGAUUUUUUUAUGCCAUAAUCCAACUAUGGUCUUACACAUACAUUGUUAAGGCCCUGUCAUGGUAUUUCGUUCACAUGCCAUAACCCGGUUAUGGUCUUUUUAUUCAUUUUCCAUAGCCCAACCAUGGUCUUAUUCGGCAACUUGCUUAUUCAAUUCGUACAUUUCAUUUACUAUCCCAACAGUUAUCCAAUAGAAUAAUUACUAUCUCAAUUUCAUCCAUCAAACAAAUAGAUACACAUUUAAGUUCAAUUAUACGAACUUACCUCGUAUACAAAAUUGACGGAUCGGGUCGACUACUCAAUAACCUUGCUUUUCCCCUGAUUUAAAUUUGAAUUCUUUCUUUCUUGAUCUAUAUGAAUUCAAAAUUGAAUUAUUCAAUCAUAUAUUCUUUCAAUUUAGUCCAAAACAUUCAUUUAGGCAUAUUUUCACUUUAGCCCCUAAACUUUCACACUUUUAACAAUUUAGUCCUUUUUUCAGAAUUACUCAAAAUUCACAUAAUUUCAUUAAACCCAAGCUUGGCCUAAUUACAUAUAGGUCCCUAGAAGCCCAAAAAUUUCAUUUAUUUCACAUUACAACCCUUAAAUUUUCACAUUUCACAAAUUAAUCCCUAUUUGACAUUUUUAUCAAAAAUCUCUUUACAAAACCAUUAAAUCUAUCAAUAAAUCUUCAUAACCUAUCAACUCAAGUAUUCAACAAUGGUAACUCUCAAAAUCUUUAACAAUUUCAAAAUCUAAGGUACGGGCUAGCUAGAUUAUGAAGCAACGAUCUCAAAAACGUAAAAAUUAUUAAAAACCGAGCUCAAAAUAUACCUAAUUGCUUGAAUUAGUCAUGGAUGAAUGAACCCUAUUUUUUCCUUCUUUUUCUUCUAAUUUUGGUGCACAAAGAUGAUAAUGAAUGAAAUUUGUGCUUUAUUUUUAUUUAUUUUAACUUUAUUUACAAAAUACCAUAAUUAACCUUAUUUAUUAACCAUUAAAAUCACUUAAUAUAUACCCAAAAUUGUCCACUAUCAUUUAAAAUCGUCUAAUUACCAUUUAAGGCCAUCAUAUUUAAAAUCCAAAUCCAAUUGACACCUUUAACUAAUAGCAUGCAACUUUUGAAUUUUACGCGAUUUAGUCCUUUUUCUCAAAUCGAGCAUUAAACGAUAAAAUUACUUCAUGAAAAUUUCACACAUUCAUACUUUCAUGCUAUAUACACAUAAAAUAAUAUUCAAAAUAAUUUUUUCAACAUCGAAUUCGAGGUUCCGAAACUACUGUUUCGAUUUAGCUAAAACCGGGUUGUUACAGAUUUUUCUUUCUAGUUGUCCAUGAGUUGGGAAUUCUUAAAUUUCUUACCCGAUUUGUUUUCUUUUUCUUUUUCCCAAAUGAAAAUAGUGUAAAAAAGGAGAGCAAUCAGAUAAGGCAUCAAAAUUUAAUUGAAACAAUUAUAGCAUUAAAAGUAAGAAAUGAAGAUUGGGCAACAUUUAAAUAGCUCCAGCAACUGUCAGUCAGCACUUGUGCCAAAUUUAUGAAGCUCGAAAUGAAAAAAAAUGAACAAAUUUCAGAUGGAAAGAAAAAGCUUCAAUUUUCAUUCUGCAAAAGGAACUGUGGUGCAUGGGAACACCAGCUGAAAAAUAGGGAGAUAAAGAAAACAGUUGAACCUACUUCUCUAGCCAAGAUGUAUGAGAUUAAUAAAUUUCAACAAAGAUUAUAAAUGUCUAAGUAUUAAAGUGCAUUGUUUUUUAAUUAGAAUAAACUAUGAACAUCAUCAUUUGGCAUUCAUCAAAAGGAAGGAUAGUCCAACAUCAAUUGCAUACUUCACUAAACCAGUAAAAAAUCAGGUACUUCCAUAAUCAACCCUAAGGUAAUCUUCACUCCCAUGUAGUCACUAAAUCACUGUUUUUCCCCUCAUUCAAAGAAACCCAAAUUUUCUUAGUGUCACUUUAUCAAACAUUUCACAUGCAUAACUCGGGAACCCACAAAAAUAGACAAUUUCAUUUGCCUAUUCAACAAUAAUUGUAGUGAUUUGCUUAAAGCUCAGACCUUCAAAUAAAGCAACUAAUUUUUUUUAAAAAAAAGCAUGAACCAAGAAUUAAGUACUAAGAUAGAUUUUAGAAAACCAUUUAUAAAAGAGGCACAAGCAAAGGGAUUUACCGGUCAUAAUCAAUUAUACUUCAAAAAAUAACCCAAAGAACCCUAAAAAAUUACAGUCCCAACUAGUAAAAUUCAACAACCCAAUAACAUUAUUCGAAUUUAAAAAAAAGAUAUAAAAAAAUAUAGAAUGAAAUGAAAAAUUACCAGAAUUUUUUGGUUUCAGCGAAGAGAACAGCGGUGAGAAAUUUUUGGUUGCUGUUUCUGGUGAAGAAUUUAUACAUAAGAGAAAAGGGCUAGGAUUUAAAAGAUGAGAAAAUAAAUUAACAAACAGAUAAAAUGAAAAACAUAAAAACUUACACGCGACGCAGCAGAGGACUGUCGACGGCAAUGCAGCAGACAUUGGGGAAAAAAGUUAAGGAUUUAGGGGAGGGGAACUGAUUUGGGGAAAAGAUGUUGGGAAAAAAAGUAAGGGAUUUGGGGGAAAAUUUUAGAGAUUUCAGGGAGAGGAACUGAUUUGGGAAAAAAACUAAGGGAUUU
rnacentral:lncRNA from 1 species